AGGCUACAGAAAAGUGCAAAAAAUAAAAUUACAUAGUGCAUCAAAAAUUGGCACUCUCUUUGUUAUUUGUAAGUAUUAGAGAUGAAACGAGAAUCAAAUUCAGAAAGAAAAAGGAGAUUUAGGACAAUGGAAGCAAUCAAAAUCAACAAAAGAGCAAUAAUACUCAAGUCCUAUGACUUAAUUAAGUAACAUAAAUGAAACAUUAAUUCAUAAAGUAAGUAUGUGAUCUAUCUAUUUUACUCCUUAGACAAAGUAAAAUCUAUAAUUUAAGGGAAACACUUCUUGAUACUUGAGCCAAUCACGUGGUUUUCAGGCGAAUGCAGCCUCGACGUCAUACAUCACGUGCUCUUGGAUAAACGAAUCAAGCACCGAUACAGUCCUACGAUGUGAAAUCCGUUUCUUUUCUUUUCUUUUUUUUUUACGGAAGCGGAGCUUCGGUUUCGAAAGUAACUUUUUUUUCCUCCAAUUUUAAAAUCGCCCACUACGUUUCCCUUACUUUAAAGUAACGUUAGGACAAACGACACAUAGCAGAAUACGACAGUCAUGUUUGUAAGAUGCUGGUUCAUAUUAUUUAUACAUCUGAUAGACAAAGUGUCUCUGCAGGACCCAGCUGAAAUCAUUGGUGGUGUUGGAGGCUCUGUCAUCUUGCCAUGUUCAUACAAGGAAAGAGUGCUAAACACAGAAGAAAUUAAUGUGUUUUGGAGAUACAAUAAUAGCGUGGUUGUUAUUGAUAUUGAAAAAGGCAUUCCCUUAACAAAAGAACAGGAUGCAAUGUUCAAAGAUCGAAUAGAUAGUUUUCCCUCAGAUUAUAAGAAAGGAAACUUCUCCAUCAGACUCGAACAUCUGAGUUUCACCAGUAUAGGAGAGUUCUCCUGCUUUAUCCAAAAUGUGGACAAGGAAUACAAACUAAGGCUGCAAGUUAGAGCUCCAUCGCCCACCACUUCAGUGUCUACUCCAAAAACAAAGACUAAUAUGAGAAACUCCUCCUUGAAAACACAACCAGAUGGGAUUGUAACUUUCCUGACUGCUGUUUUGGGAGUUUAUAUGUUGCACCAUAUCAGAGUAUUUUACUAGAAUGCUGUAUUGCUAAACUGUCUCUCACACUGUGGCUUUUUUAAACAUGUAAUCAGAAUUAUUUUUGUCUAUAUUAUAUUAUAGUGAAAUAUAUUCUGACUACUGUACAAACUAUGGAAAAUGAUUAAGAUUAUAUAUAGUUCUCAUCAGAAUUGUGCUUGAUGAAGACCUGAUUGGUCGAAAUGCUCCACUGUUUUUGAUCAACUCAGUAGCAUGUAGACAUCUUGUUCUCAUAGCCAUCAAGAUGUGUCCAGGUUACUUUUUUCUGUAUAUGCUGGUAUAUUUGUUACUGUUACAGCCUGUUUAAUUAGAAUAAGGACAGCGGAAGCUGUGGAAAUGUAUGCAUAGUAUAUAUUUUAACAAUAUUAAAUAUGUACAAUAGUAUUCUUAUGACAACAUGUCUUUUGCAUAAAAAUGUCUGCUAAAUACAUGUAAGGUAUACAUUUACGGUUUUAAAAACUAUACAGCAUAAAUUGCAUUAAUUUCUUAUUUGUCAUUGUAAAGCUCAGAGAAUACAUUAUUUGAUUUCUCAGCCAUAUAAAUUAUGCAUGUUACUUAAUAUGGUUGUGCAGCCUUCAGAGGUAAUUAAUCAGAACCGUUUUAACAUACAAUAAAAAUUGAGCCGCCUUAGUUUUUUUCUUUUUAAAUAAAUAAUAUAUAAUAAUUAUUUUUCAUUUAGUGAUUAAUUUUCAAGCAAAUUGUCUGUGCAGUAUUGUUGUGAAAUAUACUAUUGUGAUAGAGUGAAAUUGUGAUUUGAGCAACAAAAUAUUCUGCAACCCAGAACUUAAAUUAUCACCUUAGCACCAACCCAAAGGAGUUCACUCUUCACAGCUCCACACAGUUAUAACAUGUCAAAAAUGAUUUUGUAGUCUUCUAAUACAUGUAUCAUUAAAUGACAAUGCUUUAUAACAUAAGGUCUUACUGUUUUAAUUUACUACUAUAAAUAACAAUUGCACACGCAUUUUAUUUCCUUAUUACCCUUCUAAAAAUUAAAAGCAUUGAUAUGUACACUAAAACAUUUUUCAAUAUAUCCUUGUGAAAGAAUCAUUAUUUUAAAUUAUAUAGAAAUUCCCAACUAGAAAAUGGUGUUCACUUCAGUGGAAAUACGUAUUAAGGCAACAAAAAACAAAUAAAAGACAGUUUCUCCUUGAAUAAAAGAUAGACUUACUCUUGUUUAAUGCUGGUUUGUAUGUUACAUCACACAUGCUUUAAAUGGCUCUUGAAAAAAAAUGGACACCAUACAUUUAGAUUACAGUGUUAAAAAUGGAUUCUGAAAGAGGAUUAUUACUUAGAACUAUUACUUAAGAGUAUGAUGUUGAUUUAACAAAAACUGUAAUUAUCAUGCUUCAUCAGAGUAGCCCAGCUCUGACUUCCUCUCUUGUCUGUGUGGUCGAGGUUUCAUAGUGUUUCCGCUCACAGUAAAAGAUGUUUGAAUGAUCACAGUAUAGAAGAUAAUCAUAUGGAUCAGACGAUGAAGAUCAUACAGCUUCACAUCUAUCUGUUGAUGUGGUCUCAAGCCGCAGAGAGUGUAACAAACACAGCAGUAACUUUAGGAGCUGAUGUGAAUAUAAGCUGUGAUCUUGAUAUAAAGGAGAUUUACUGGUACAGACACAAAUCACCAGAUCCUCCAGUGCUUCAUCUUACGCACUUACAGCAGCACUAAUGAAGGAGCUAAAUAUGAAAACAGCAUCUUCAAACUCAAAUACUCGGUGAAAACUAACAGCCAUCUGUUCAUCAGAAAUAUCAGCACUGAUGAAUUAGGAGUUUAUUAUUGUGUCAAAACUAGUGAACCAUUAAAAUUCAGCAACGGCACCAAAAUCUACAUCAGCUACUUGGUCCACAGGAAUCAGACAGAAUCGAAUGAUGCUCCACAACACGAGACUCGAUGGAGAAACCUGAUCAUCACAUCGGUCCUGUUCAAUGUGCUUUUGAUCAUUGCAGUAAUAGGUUUGGUGAAGUGCUGCCUUGAUGCAACUAGAAGAUCAAAAAAUACUUCAGAGAAACCUCAAAGCACCACAGCAGCUCAAAACACAAAUGAUUUACAGUAUGCUGAAGUUGAUUUCUCCAAGCGCUCCAGAAAAAACAGACCUUGCCCAAGACCAGACCAGGACCAGACCACCUACUCUCUUCUACAGCCAGUAAAAACAGUUUGACAGCAUUUUAAAUUGUCUAUACAUAUAAAAGUCCUUACAAAUCACAUGAUUAAAGCUUAAUAAAUAUAGUAAAUAUAUUAUUAUUUUUAUUAUUAUUAUUGGCGUGCAUGUUAAUUGUUUUGAAUAAUUUUGGUUCUUACAUGUUAAAACUUCUGAACAGCUCUGUUUUGUGGUUAGCAUAAGUGUGGUUUCAUGUGAAAGAAAUGUUCCACCAGUUUGGUCAG